rnacentral:tRNA from 1 species
GGUGGCUUAGUGCUAGAGCACUUGCCUUGCAUGCAUGAGGCCUGGGUUCGAUUCCUCAGCACCA